UCUUUGUAAAGGUCUUGCACACGCCCGUGCCUGCAACGCUGACGAGCACACACGCUGCCUCAUUCCCCUCCCCUCGCUCUACUCGAGUCGCUCCCGAGGAAAUCCGAAGUCCCGCCUCCAAACCAAAAACAAACAACGGCACCCGUCCCGCCCUUUCCUCCACAGCGAAGGCGGCAAAAUGAGAAGGAACAGGAACGAAAACGAAAUGACCCCGACGUGAUUCGAACACGCAGCCUUCUGAUCUGGAGUCAGACGCGCUACCGUUGCGCCACGAGGUCCUGCUGCAAAACGCGCGCCAGAGCCUUGGAACUCACCUACCACAGCUGCCCGCCGCCUGAUCUCUUCACUGCCUCGAAUCUCCCCUUUCCCCCGCCACGAGCUCGCUUCCCGCAUCCCUCUCAGGAUGCAUUCAGAAUUCGGGUGUUGCCUUGUGCUAGUUCUGUAUUUAAAUUUCCUUUGGGGAAAAACAAGGACUUCGUCUGAGAUUUUGAUGAUCACAGACAAUGUUAUUAAUAAUAGAUUGGAAAUGAAGAAUGAGAGCCUAUUCAUCAAAGACCAUAUCGAAAGGACAUACCAACUCUGGCUUGUUGGACUGAUUGCUGUAUGAAAGUGAUAGUGUAAUUUGUACAGCAGAUGCCUAACAGUAGCAUCUGAAGAGUCCCUGAAUUACACUGUUCUCAAGAAGAUGUAUGCAUCUUGUCAUCUUUGCAAAUUGUCACAAUAAAAUUUUAGAAUAGAAAUACA
rnacentral:tRNA from 1 species